rnacentral:rRNA from 1 species
UACAGAGGGUGCGAGCGUUAAUCGGAAUUGCUGGGCGUAAAGCGUGCGUAGACGGUUAUCUAAGUCGGAUGUGAAAGCCCCGGGCUCAACCUGGGAAUUGCAUUCGAGACUGAAUAGCUAGGGUACGGUAGAGGGAAGUGGAAUUUCCGGUGUAGCGGUGAAAUGCGUAGAUAUCGGAAGGAACAUCAGUGGCGAAAGCGACUUCCUGGACCAGUACCGACGUUCAGGCACGAAAGCGUGGGGAGCAAACAGG